rnacentral:misc_RNA from 1 species
UACACUGAUGCAUCAAGCAUUUAACAUGUGUACAGCAUAAGAAUCAUCUUCACUUAUUAUAAAAACAACAAAGUUUUUGGAUCCAGCCUAUAUACAUUCACCUGGUUCUAACAUACUAAUUUGGCACCUAAGGCAAUGCAAUUUCAGCCCCACAAAAGGAUUUUUUUUAAUCUAAACUAUUUGUUCCUCUUUAUCUCUUAAUCAAACAAAA